UUGAGCCGGAUGCGUUGCAAGGCGCAAGUCCGGUUCUGAGGGGGCGGGAUUAUAGCGAUAUAGUCCUGCUACCCGAC
rfam:Cylindrospermum stagnale PCC 7417, complete genome.